GACCAAACAGAAUCCUUUAUUUUCAGACCUUCAAUGCUGAAUUUGAGCUUGUCUUCUUCCUUCUUCCUUCUUCCGGUUCAUCACCUCCUCCGUUAACAAUCAUAGCUAGGGUUUCAUUUGGGAAUAAGUCUCCGAUUGAGCUUCCUCCUUCGUUAAGGAAGGGGUUUUGUUGUCAUUUAUAUGUAGGUUUUUCAUGAUCUCGCUCUUCUGAUCUGUGUUGUUAUCUGCUGCUUGAAUUUCCGAGUCCUGUUUGUAAGUGACGGAUUCGCAUUAUUUGUUUGGUGAUGGUUUGUAUAAGAAGAAGGGGAAUUGAACGGUUGUGUGGUGGAGAUUGAAUUGUUUGGCCGUGGCUCUUUGAUAGGUUCUAAUAUCUGGGAUUUAGUUUGCCACCAUGUCGGUGAGUGAGCGCAAGACGAUCUACCUAGAACAAGGAUGGGAUUUCAUGCAGAAGGGCAUCAAAAAGCUCAAGAAUAUUCUUGAAGGAUUGCCUGAGCCUCAGUUUAGCUCCGAGGACUAUAUGAUGUUGUAUACGUAUAUCUACAAUAUGUGCACUCAAAAGCAUCCUUAUGAUUAUUCUCAGCAACUUUAUGACAAGUACAGGGAAUCGUUUGAAGAGUACAUUCUAUCAACGGUAUUACCUUCUUUGAGAGAGAAGCAUGAUGAAUUUUUGUUGAGAGAGCUAGUGAGAAGGUGGGCAAACCAUAAGAUUAUGGUUAGGUGGCUUUCCCGCUUCUUUUACUAUUUAGAUCGCUACUUUGUUGCUCGGAGAUCGCUUCCACCUCUUGAAGAUGUUGGACUGAGCUGCUUCCGGGAUUUGGUAUACAAGGAACUAAAUGGUAAAGCGAGGGAUGCAGUUAUAUCUCUUAUUGAUCAAGAACGGGAAGGAGAACAAAUUGAUCGAGCUUUAUUAAAGAAUGUCCUGGAUAUAUUUGUUGAAAUUGGAAUGGGGCAAAUGGAUUGCUAUGAGAAUGAUUUUGAAGCUGACUUGCUCAAAGACACCUCCGCAUAUUAUUCUCUAAAGGCUUCCAACUGGAUCCUUGAAGAUUCUUGUCCUGAUUAUAUGCUCAAGGCUGAGAAGUGCUUAAGGCGUGAAAAAGAUAGGGUUGCUCAUUACUUGCAUUCUAGUAGCGAGCCAAGGUUACUUGAGAAAGUUCAACAUGAACUUUUAACUGUGUAUGCGACCCAACUCCUUGAAAAAGAGCACUCUGGAUGUCAUGCAUUACUUAGAGACGACAAGAUUGAAGACUUAUCACGGAUGUUCAGGCUCUUUUCUAAAAUACCUCGGGGGUUAGAUCCUGUUUCUGGCAUAUUUAAGCAGCAUGUUACUACUGAAGGAAUGGCAUUGGUGAAGCUGGCUGAAGAUGCAGUUAGUAACAAAAAGGCAGAGAAAAGGGAUGUUGUCGGCAUGCAGGAACAGGUUUUUGUUCGGAAGGUGAUUGAGCUGCAUGACAAGUACCUGGCUUAUGUGAAUGACUGUUUUCAGAAUCAUACACUUUUCCAUAAGGCACAUAAGGAAGCUUUUGAGGUCUUCUGCAACAAGGGUGUUGCUGGAAGCUCAAGUGCAGAACUGCUUGCAACUUUUUGUGACAAUAUUCUCAAGAAAGGAGGAAGUGAAAAAUUGAGUGAUGAAGCAAUUGAAGAAACUCUUGAAAAGGUGGUCAAGCUGCUUGCCUAUAUUAGUGACAAAGACAUGUUUGCUGAAUUCUAUAGGAAGAAGCUGGCUCGGAGGCUUCUCUUUGACAAGAGUGCCAAUGAUGAACAUGAGAGAAGUAUCUUGACAAAAUUGAAGCAACAAUGUGGUGGUCAGUUUACUUCAAAGAUGGAAGGAAUGGUUACAGAUUUGACUCUGGCGAGGGAAAACCAAGCUAGUUUUGAAGAGUACCUCAGCAUUAAUCCUAAUGCAGACGCAGGACUUGACCUGACAGUCACAGUUCUGACUACUGGAUUCUGGCCAAGUUACAAAUCUUUUGAUCUCAACCUUCCAGCAGAAAUGGUCAAGUGCGUUGAAGUUUUCAAGGAGUUUUAUCAAACAAAAACAAAGCACAGAAAAUUGACAUGGAUUUACUCCUUGGGUACCUGCAACAUAACCGGAAAAUUUGAUGCAAGACCUGUGGAGCUGGUUGUGACAACCUACCAGGCUUCUGCGCUGCUUCUCUUUAAUUCUUCAGAUAAGUUGAGUUACUCAGAGAUAUUGACUCAGUUGAACUUGACUGAUGAUGAUGUUAUUAGACUGCUUCACUCCUUGUCAUGUGCCAAGUACAAGAUUCUUAACAAGGAGCCAAGCACAAAAACAAUAUCAUCUGCUGAUAUUUUUGAAUUUAAUUCAAAAUUCACGGACAAAAUGAGGAGGAUUAAGAUUCCUCUUCCGCCCGUAGAUGAGAAGAAAAAAGUAGUUGAUGAUGUCGACAAGGACAGAAGAUAUGCUAUUGAUGCAUCCAUUGUGCGUAUUAUGAAGAGCAGAAAAACUUUGGGUUACCAACAGUUAGUAAUGGAGUGUGUUGAGCAGUUAGGGCGCAUGUUCAAGCCUGAUGUCAAGGCAAUUAAGAAAAGGAUUGAAGACUUGAUCUCUCGGGACUACUUGGAAAGAGACAAAGAUAAUCCCAAUCUGUUCAGAUACUUGGCUUGAAGCUGCCUUGACGAGCGUGCAAAUGAAGGGGGUCAGUGGCCGCUGCGAAUGGCUAAACAAGAGGAUGAUGUCUAAACUCGUAAAAAUUGAGCGCUUCUUAGUAAUAGCCUUGAAAAGGAAACUGCGAGUGUUUUUACAUGUUGCCUCCAUAUCCAGUUGGUAAGGAUUUUGCUCCUGACUUAUGAGGCUGUGGAUGAAAUCCUGUGGAGUGAGGAUCUUCUUGGUGGGUAACAUGUAAUUGGUGAGUAACAUGUAAAUAUUUUUGUAAGCAGUUUUUGAGCUUUAAAGUAUAUCUUAGCUCUGGUGAGCUUUUUAACUCAUCUAAAUUUUCUUGUUAUAAAAAGAAUAUGGUAUUUCUUCAUGUUUUCAUUUAUGAUUUGCUGUUACUUUGAAUUUCUUACUUAUUGUUUAGUUGGUAAUAAAAUAUGCUGAAAAAUGUAAAGCUUUUUAGCUGAA